rnacentral:rRNA from 1 species
UUGACCUCGGAUCAGGUAGGGAUACCCGCUGGAACUUAAGCAUAUCAAUAAGCG